rnacentral:rRNA from 1 species
UGGCCUUUUAACACAUUUGCAAGUUCGAAACGGGAUCCAUCAGGCUUUGCUUGGUGGUGAGAGUGGCGAACGGGUGAGUAAUGCGUGACCGACCUGCCCCAUACACCGGAAUAGCUCCUGGAAACGGGUGGUAAUGCCGGAUGCUCCGACUCCUCGCAUGGGGUGUCGGGAAAGAUUUCAUCGGUAUGGGAUGGGGUCGCGUCCUAUCAGGUAGUCGGCGGGGUAACGGCCCACCGAGCCUACGACGGGUAGCCGGCCUGAGAGGGCGACCGGCCACAUUGGGACUGAGAUACGGCCCAGACUCCUACGGGAGGCAGCAGUGGGGAAUAUUGCACAAUGGGCGCAAGCCUGAUGCAGCGACGCCGCGUGCGGGAUGACGGCCUUCGGGUUGUAAACCGCUUUUGAUCGGGAGCAAGCCUUCGGGUGAGUGUACCUUUCGAAUAAGCACCGGCUAACUACGUGCCAGCAGCCGCGGUAAUACGUAGGGUGCAAGCGUUAUCCGGAAUUAUUGGGCGUAAAGGGCUCGUAGGCGGUUCGUCGCGUCCGGUGUGAAAGUCCAUCGCUUAACGGUGGAUCUGCGCCGGGUACGGGCGGGCUGGAGUGCGGUAGGGGAGACUGGAAUUCCCGGUGUAACGGUGGAAUGUGUAGAUAUCGGGAAGAACACCAAUGGCGAAGGCAGGUCUCUGGGCCGUUACUGACGCUGAGGAGCGAAAGCGUGGGGAGCGAACAGGAUUAGAUACCCUGGUAGUCCACGCCGUAAACGGUGGAUGCUGGAUGUGGGGCCCGUUCCACGGGUUCCGUGUCGGAGCUAACGCGUUAAGCAUCCCGCCUGGGGAGUACGGCCGCAAGGCUAAAACUCAAAGAAAUUGACGGGGGCCCGCACAAGCGGCGGAGCAUGCGGAUUAAUUCGAUGCAACGCGAAGAACCUUACCUGGGCUUGACAUGUUCCCGACAGCCGUAGAGAUAUGGCCUCCCUUCGGGGCGGGUUCACAGGUGGUGCAUGGUCGUCGUCAGCUCGUGUCGUGAGAUGUUGGGUUAAGUCCCGCAACGAGCGCAACCCUCGCCCUGUGUUGCCAGCACGUCAUGGUGGGAACUCACGGGGGACCGCCGGGGUCAACUCGGAGGAAGGUGGGGAUGACGUCAGAUCAUCAUGCCCCUUACGUCCAGGGCUUCACGCAUGCUACAAUGGCCGGUACAACGGGAUGCGACACGGCGACGUGGAGCGGAUCCCUGAAAACCGGUCUCAGUUCGGAUUGGAGUCUGCAACCCGACUCCAUGAAGGCGGAGUCGCUAGUAAUCGCGGAUCAGCAACGCCGCGGUGAAUGCGUUCCCGGGCCUUGUACACACCGCCCGUCAAGUCAUGAAAGUGGGUAGCACCCGAAGCCGGUGGCCUAACCCUUUGUGGAUGGAGGCCCGUUCUAAAAGGG